rnacentral:rRNA from 1 species
GAAGGAUAGGUUAUAAGCGAAUGGUGGAUGCCUUGGGAUAUUGAUGCGACGAAAGACGUGGCGUGCCUGCGAUAAGCAUCGGGGAGGUGGCUAGCAACCUUUGAUCCGGUGAUUUCUGAAUGGGUAAACCCUAUUGUGCAAAACACAAUAACCCGCCGAUGAGGUGGGAGCGCACCCGGUGAAGUGAAACAUCUCAGUAGCCGGAGGAAAAAAGAACGAAGUGAUUCCCUUAGUAGUGGCGAGCGAACAGGGAGAAGUCUAAACCGUUUGAAUUUAUUUCAAACGGGGUUGCAAGGUUAUAGCGUCGGGAGCACUUUUCUGCAGCACUAUGUUGUGCGACAGGAAAAUGUUUGCCGAGGGAGAGUAUUUAGGUGAAAGUUUUAAAAGAAGCACUCUGGAAAGAGGCGCCAUAGGAGGUAAUAGCCCUGUAUUUAAAAAAACUUUUAUGCUCCUUGCUAUUUUUCUUAAGUACUGUCGGGCAUGAUAACCUGGCAGGAAUCAGGCCGAACUAUCGGCCAAGGCUAAAUAAUCAAUAUCACCAAUAGUGAACCAGUACCGUGAGGGAAAGGUGAAAAGUAGGGGGUUGACCCCGGUGAAAUAGUACCUGAAACCAUUUGCUUACAAAGAGUCGGAGCUCCGCAAGGAGUGACGGCGUGCUUUUUGCAGAACGAGCCAACGAGUUUGAAUAGCCAAUAGUCUAAGCCCCUACGGGGCGGAGGCAUAGCGAAAGCGAGUGUGAAUAGCGCGAAAAAUUAUAUUGGAUAUUCAAGACCCGAAGCCAGACGAGCUUACCUUGGGCAGGAUGAAUCUUUCCGAAAGGAAAGAGGAGGUCCGAACCCGUGAGGCGUGCAAUCCUUUGGGAUGACCUGAGGUAAGGAGUGAAAAGCUAAUCGAGUUUGGUAAUAGCUGGUUCUUCCCGAAACAGCUUUGGGGCUGGCGUCUCCAGCCAGAAUAUGGGGGUAGAGCACUGAAUAGAAUUCCGUGGAGUUUCUCCAGGUUUUCUAAUCAAACUCCGAAUACCAUAUUUUUUGUGGAGGCAGUUAGAACGCGGGGGCUAAGCUCCGCGCUCAAAAGAGAAACAGCUCAGAUCAUCGUCUAAGGUCCCUAAAUUAAACUAAGUGUUUUAAAGGAGGUAUUUUGCCCCUGACAGGCAGGAAGUUAGCUUAGAGGUAGCUAUCUUUUAAAGAGUGUGUAACAACUCACUGUCCAAACUUUCCCGUUCUCGGGAAGGAAGGGCGAGGUGCGCCAAAGAUUACCGGGACUAAAGUUUAAUACCGAAGACAUGGAUUUUUCUCCGCUUAGGCGGAGAGGAGUGGUAGGGAAGCAUUCCCAGGGCGUUGAAGCAGGAGGGUAACCGACUGUGGAGCGCUGGGAAGAGAGAAUGUUGGCCUGAGUAACCGCAUUGCAGGUGAGAGCCCUGCACACCGAAAGUCCAAGGUUUCCUUGGCAAUGGUAUUCAACCAAGGGUUAGGCGGUCCUAAGGUAAACCCGAAAGGGGUAGCUGAUGGACAGUGGGUUAAUAUUCCCACCCCUCUUUAUUUUUUCAAUAAAGUGCGGAAUUUAGUAAGCAAGGCGAUUUAUUGGAUUAUCGUCGGCAACAUAACGCAAGAAGUGUUGACGGGAACCUGCCUCAUCGGCGGGGAACCUUGCUGAGCAAGUUUCCUAGAAAAUCUUUAUUUCAAUAGAGUAAAGAGUCCGUACCGCAAACCGACACAGGUGGACAAGCGUAAGUAUGCUAAGGUGAACGGGUGAAACCUCGUUAAGGAACUCGGCAAAUCAGUGGCCGUAAGUUCGCAAUAUGGCCUGCCCUGCACGCAAGUGUUUGGGCUGCAACAAACGUACUUCAACCGACUGUUUAUCAAAAACACAUCUCCCUGCUAACUCGUAAGAGGAUGUAUAGGGGGUGAGGCCUGACCAGUGUUGGAAUGUUAAGUUUGAGGGUCCUAGUUUUCGGAUUAGGGCUCAUUGAAUGAAGCACCAAUGAACGUCGGCGAUAACUAUAAUCGUCCAAAGGUAGCGUAAUCCCUUGCCGGGUAAGCAAAACCGGAAAUUGCUCGGCAUAAUAAAGUUGGCUCAUAACGGAGAAAGCUGAAAAACUUGGACAGUUUUUCUUCCA